UUUUUUUUUAAUACUUGUAAAAAAAGAUGGAUCCAAUGGAUAAGUAUUUAGUUAUAGCUAAAUACUUAUCCAUUGGAUCCAUCGGAUCCAUCUUUUUUUAUAAGUAUUAAAAAAAAA